AUUGAACGCUGGCGGCAGGCCUAACACAUGCAAGUCGAGCGGAGCGGCGGACGGGUGAGUAAUGCCUAGGAAUCUGCCUGGUAGUGGGGGAUAACGUCCGGAAACGGGCGCUAAUCCCGCCUACUCUCCGCUGCGCCUAGGUCGGAUUAGCUAGUUGGUGGGGUAAAGGCCUAACAAGGCGACGAUCCGUAACUGGUCUGCGAGGAUGAUCAGUCACACUGGAACUGAGACACGGGCCAGACUCAGACGGGAGGCAGCAGUGGGGAAUAUUGGACAAUGGGCGAAAGCCUGAUCCAGCCAUGCCGCGUGUGUGAAGAAGGUCUUCGGAUUGUAAAGCACUUUAAGUUGGGAGGCGUUACCAACAGAAUAAGCACCGGCUAACUUCGUGCCAGCAGCCGCGGUAAUUC
rnacentral:rRNA from 1 species